AGCAGCCGCGGUAAUUCCAGCUCCAAUAGCGUAUAUUAAAGUUGUUGCAGUUAAAAAGCUCGUAGUUGAAUUUCGGGAUCAAUAUAUCGGUCGUGCCAUUGGUACGUACUGGUAUCAUUGGUUUCUCCUUUCUGACGAACCAUGAUGUCAUUAAUUUGGUGUUAUGGGAAGUUAGGACUGUUACUUUGAAAAAAUUAGAGUGUUUAAAGCAGGCUUUAGCUUGAAUACAUUAGCAUGGAAUAAUGAAAUAGGACGUUCGAACCUAUUUUGUUGGUUUCUAGGAUCAACGUAAUGAUUAAUAGGGAUAGUUGGGGGCAUUAGUAUUCAAUUGUCAGAGGUGAAAUUCUUGGAUUAUUGAAGACUAACUACUGCGAAAGCAUUUGCCAAGGAUGUUUUCAUUAAUCAAGAACGAAAGUUAGGGGAUCGAAGACGAUCAGAUACCGUCGUAGUCUUAACCAUAAACUAUGCCGACUAGGGAUCGGAUGAUGUUAAUUUUUUAAUGACUCAUUCGGCGCCUUAC
rnacentral:rRNA from 1 species